GCCGGGCACAAUGGUGUGUGCCUAUAAUCCCAGAGACUUGGGAGGCUGAGGCAGGAGGAUUGCAAAUUACAAGGUAGCCUGGGCAAUUUAGUGAAGCCUGUCUCAA
rnacentral:sRNA from 1 species